GCGUGUGUAGCUCAGUUGGUAGAGCAUCCGACUGAUACUCGGAAGGUCCCAGGUUCAAUCCCUGGCACACGCA
rnacentral:tRNA from 1 species